AUGUUUUCUUUGUAUGUUCUUUGCUGUAGGUACGAGGAUCCUGACAAGUGCCUGAUUCUCUAUGGUGAUGACCAGCAUCCAGACCUGGAAUUCCCCAAGUGGACGCUGGCACAGGGAUGGGACAGGCGAGGAAACCCCACCCCCACCCUCACCACGGUCAUCGUGCCCUUGUGGUCAUCAGCACCAGGGGACUGUUAUAUCGGGCUCCUGGGCUUGCUCUGCCCACCGUGCUGCAGCCCUGGUGACUGGCAGCGGUCCAGCAGAAGUCAGGGAGGCGAAGCCAGGGCCUAUCCAGGUGACAGUGCCUGUUCAUCAUAAUGCAGGUUCAUUGGUAAAAAUGCAAAUGACUCAUUUCACUUCAUCCCUCUGACAGACUGCUGGUAGCAGUAACUGGCUGCUCCCUACACCUGUCAUCACUGCCGCACUGCUCACUUUGUGUAAAGGGCCUGCCACACUUCAGUGUAUAUAUAGCAACCAUCAUUACAGCCGCCUAGUGGAAACUUGAUCAUUCACUGCCCCCUAGUGGACUUGGAGUGAACAGGCAUAUAUGGCUGUGUUCCUUUGAUUUAGGUUCUAAGCAAAUUCGAGUUGCCUUUUGUUUCAGGAAGAGUUUUGGGGGUCUGCUGCUUUAAUCGUCAUUGCUCGUGGCUGUGGUUCUUAAUUAACAACACUUUAAUGAGAUAAAAUGUCAAUCGUGGGUGGCUCUUUAUGGAGCUAUAUUUGAAUGUUCAAAAGUCAACAUUUUCAAACAGUAAUGAGUCUUCAUCUGAUGCUCAUUUUAAAAAUCGAAUUUUAUUUAGGCUGAAAAAAAACUUAAAAUGAAGGUAGCCUUAAAGAGUUCAUGUUGCCAUCUAGCAAAGUGAUGAGUUGUGCUCCAGAGGGAAAUAAGUUCAGAAGCAUUGGCUGUGCCUGUCUCACCUAACAUCGCCUCACCAUCCUUCAUCGGCUUUCAGAGUCUUCACAGUUUGGAAUCAGGGAUGAGCAUAAGGGAAGCUACACUGGCAACAUGGCGACAAAAGCAAGGGAAACUCAGUUCAUCAUCAUCAUAUCACAAAGGCUGUCUCCACGAGCGACUUUCCUUGGGCUUCUUCUUUUGUUGCAUCUAGCCCAGGCUUGUGCACUUGAAGAUCAUUUGAUAAUAUUCAUCAGUGUUAUGUUCAGCAUGCUAACCGGUUUCUUAAGAAGGGCAGUAAUCUCCUUUUAUACCCUUCUGAGCUAUUUGCUCUUGACAAGAACUUGAAAGAUUUGUAAUCAUCUCAAGAGUUCAGCGACUUCAUUGCUCUGACCUCUUGGCAUAUCUGCUGCUAGAAUAUUAUUGAUACUAGAAUAACUCCCUUUCCAUCAUCAUAAAGACUCUUGCCAUAAAGAUCUCCAUCAAUAAAGUCAAGGUCAACUGUGUCCA
rnacentral:lncRNA from 1 species